rnacentral:lncRNA from 1 species
CUGGUUUAACCGCAGCGGUUGCGGUUGCGGUUGCGGGAGUUUGCGGAUGCGGGUGGUUGCGGUUUCUAGCGGUUUUAAGAGAUUUGUACGACUGGUUAUGCGGUUAAAAAUUGGUGUGUUUGCGGGAUACUUAUGACUGGUUAACUACCAAGUGCAACAGCGGUUAAAUAAUAAAUUAACAAUAUUUACAUUUUAUACAAUUAUAAAAAUAUCAAAAAUAAUAAUAUUAUAAUAAAUAUAAAAGUUAUAUUUAGAAAGUUAUAGUUUAAUUUUUUUUUAAAUAUAGAAAAUAUUUUUAUUUUAAAGUUUUAUAAUAUUAAUUAAAAUUUAAUAGAUAUAUUUUAGCAUUUUUAUAAUUCUAAUUUAUUUUUUUUAUUGAAUAUUUUUAUUUUUGUAUUUAUAUUGUUUUGGAAAAAAAGAAAUUUUUUUUAUCCUCCCGCAACCGCCCGCAACCGCAAACGCUAGCUGGAACCAGCUUUUGAAUUUAUGAGGUUCGGAGCGAUUUGGAGCGGUUUGGAACGGUUUGGAACGGUUUGAGCGAUUGUUGCAAAACGCCAACAACCGCUACCAAUCGCAAAAGCUGCGUUUGCGGGUGGUAGCGGGAAAACCAGUCAUGCCCUUAGUUGUAUCACAACACAAACAAUUGUACGAGCGAGGGGGACAUAAAGUAGCUGUAAUGGGCCAUAGGGGACAAAGUGAUUGGAGAAUUGGGCCUCGUUUUUUACAUGGGUCCCAUUCUAGUGAUUCCUUUCGUCGUCUUGCGAUGGUUGCCUAGUCAGAUCCCCGUU